AAGACAAUUUACUUGUUUUGCUCUAUCAACUAAGAAUUGUUGUAAAAGCAAAUGAACAUCUCUUGCUACGCUAAGGUGCAGGUUUAUAAUGUCUGGGUUAUAUUCAUAUUUAUGUACCAAUUGUGCUGUUGAAAACUGAAUCCCACUUUUUAAUAUUUAGGUCGGGGUGGCGGCUUUGAGCAAAAAACACCACCUCCAGGCUAUGUAUGCCACAGAUGCAAAAAACUGCUAUACCAUCGGCAGGCUACUCGAAACAAAACAGUACAUGAUAAGCACCAUUUCUUCUUCGUGAGAGGAUUUUGGUAAGAUAACCGCAAGUUAUAUUUAUAAUAUAAUGUCAUUCUUGUUCUUAUCCUUAACAAAUUUUGUGUCAUUCUUGUAUUUUUUUUAUAGAUAAAUUUUGAUGUCGACUUGUCUUCGAAGAUUGUGGUUGAUGUGAUUGACCUCCAAAUAGGUUGUUGACGGAAAGCUUUCCCAAACUUGUUAUCUCAUGGGACUUGAGUCUUGCUACAAGGGAUAUUGUCGAAAGUAAGUUGCUAUCAGUAUAUCAGCUCCAACUCCUGUCAUGAUGACAAAUUAUGUUACAAGCUGUCUUUAACACAAUCUUGCCCAUUAUAGGUACGAGAAAUUCGAAGGCAAACAAUUUUCAAUUGCUGAUGCUGACUAUUUUGUAUUUCGUUCUCCUUUUAACAAGCUUGUACAGAAGAGCUUUGCUCGAUUAGUGUUCAGUGAUGUCGUUAGAAACGCCAGGCAUCUCAGCAAGUGGCUAAGCCCCAUUACAAUAAGAAGGUUCGACCUAGAACUUUGAUCAACAAGCAAGUCGGCAACAUGUAUACUGCUUCUAUAUAUGCGGCCUUUGCUUCCCUCAUUCAUAAUAAG